rnacentral:rRNA from 1 species
GACGAACGCUGGCGGCGUGCCUAAUACAUGCAAGUCGAGCGGACCAAACAGGAGCUUGCUCUUGUUUGGUUAGCGGCGGACGGGUGAGUAACACGUGGGUAACCUGCCCGUAAGACCGGGAUAACUCCGGGAAACCGGAGCUAAUACCGGAUAACACCGAAGACCGCAUGGUCUUUGGUUGAAAGGCGGCUUCGGCUGCCCCUUACGGAUGGGCCCGCGGCGCAUUAGCUAGUUGGUGAGGUAACGGCUCACCAAGGCGACGAUGCGUAGCCGGCCUGAGAGGGUGACCGGCCAAACUGGGACGGAGACACGGCCCAGACUCCUACGGGAGGCAGCAGUAGGGAAUCUUCCGCAAUGGACGAAAGUCUGACGGAGCGACGCCGCGUGAGCGAAGAAGGUCGUCGGAUCGUAAAGCUCGGUUGUUAGGGAAGAAGAAGCGCCGUUCGAACAGGGCGGCGCGGUGACGGUACCUAACGAGAAAGCCCCGGCUAACUACGUG